rnacentral:rRNA from 1 species
GGCUUCACCCGGGAGGCUGCACCAGAUACUGCGAAGCUCGAGGACGGGAGAGGAGAUUGGAAUUCCCGGUGUAGCGGUGAAAUGCAUUGAUAUCGGGAGGAACACCAGUGGCGAAGGCGGAUCUCUGGCCCGUUGCUGACGCUGAGGUGCGAAAGCUGGGGGAGCGAAAGGGAUUAGAUACCCCUGUAGUCCCAGCCCUAAACGAUGGGCGCUAGGUGUUGGGGGAUUAACCCUCAGCGCCGUAGCUAACGCAUUAAGCGCCCCGCCUGGGGAGUACGGCCGCAAGGUUGAAACUCAAAGGAAUUGACGGGGGCCCGCACAAGCGGUGGAGCAUGUGGAUUAAUUCGAUACAAACCGAAGAACCUUACCUGGGCUUGACAUCCACGAGAAACGCCCUAGAAAUAGGGCGCCUCGGUGGGGAAACUCACCGACCCGUGGACACCGGUUGCAUGGCUGUCGUCAGCUCGUGCCGUGAGGUGUUGGGUUAAGUCCCGCAACGAGCGCAACCCUUGUCCUCUGUUGCCAGCGGGUCAUGCCGGGCACUCUGAGGAGACUGCCGUGGUCAACACGGAGGAAGGUGGGGACGACGUCAAGUCAGCAUGGCGGUUACGUCCAGGGCGUCACACAUGCUACAAUGGGUGGUACAAAGGGCAGCCAACGCGCGAGCGGGAGCGAAUCCCAAAAAACCACCCUCAGUUGGGAUCGCAGUCUGCAACUCGACUGCGUGAACGCGGAAUCGCUAGUAACGGCGGGUCAGCCAUACCGCCGUGAAUACGUUCCCGGGCCUUGUACACACCGCCCGUCAAGUCACCCGAGUCGGCUGCACCCGAAGUCGGUCGCCUAACCCGCAAGGGAGGGAGCCGCCGAAGGUGUGGCUGGUAAGGGGGACUAAGUCGUAACAAGGUAA